GUGGGGAAUCUUCCGCAAUGGACGAAAGUCUGACGGAGCGACGCCGCGUGAGUGAUGAAGGCCUUCGGGUCGUAAAGCUCUGUCAUCGGGGACGAACGGCCUCAGCAGGUAAUGGCUGGGGAUUGACGGUACCCGAGAAGGAAGCCACGGCUAACUACGUGCCAGCAGCCGCGGUAAUACGUAGGUGGCAAGCGUUGUCCGGAAUUAUUGGGCGUAAAGCGCGCGCAGGUGGGAUCUUAAGUCCAUUUUUAAAGUUCGGAGCUCAACUCCGUGAUGGGAUGGAAACUGGGAUUCUUGAGUACCGGAGAGGAAAGCGGAAUUCCCCGUGUAGCGGUGAAAUGCGUAGAUAUGGGGAGGAACACCAGUGGCGAAGGCGGCUUUCUGGACGGUGUCUGACACUGAGGCGCGAAAGCCAGGGGAGCGAACGGGAUUAGAAACCCCUGUAGUCC
rnacentral:rRNA from 1 species